rnacentral:rRNA from 1 species
AACGAACGCUGGCGGCAGGCCUCAUACAUGCAAGUCGAGCGGACGGACCCCUUCGGGGGCGAGUUAGCGGCGAACGGGUGAGUAACAGGUGGAUGAUCUGCCUCCCGGUGGGGGAUAACGGCUGGAAACGGCCGCUAAUACCGCAUUCGGUUGAUGCGUUGCGGCGCAUCAAAGAAAGGCGCUUCACGGCGCUGCCGGGAGAUGAGUCCGCCCCCCAUUAGCUAGUUGGCGGGAUAACAGCCCACCAAGGCUUCGAUGGGUAGCCGAACUGACGAGGUUGAUCGGCCACACUGGAACUGAGACACGGUCCAGACACCUACGGGUGGCAGCAGUAGGGAAUAUUGGGCAAUGGGCGAAAGCCUGACCCAGCCAUGCCGCGUGAGUGACGAAGGUCCUAUGGAUUGUAAAGCUCUUUUCUGAGGAAAGAACAUCCGGGGUAGGAAAUGACCCCGGCUUGACGGUACCUCAGGAAUAAGGAACGGCUAACUCCGUGCCAGCAGCCGCGGUAAUACG